AUUUUAAAGUGCUCUGCAAGAACAGAUUCACUGGCCUAUUCUGCAGGGUGGAGUGUGUGAAAAAUGUCCUUUCUCCUGACUUCAGGGUGGAAUGAAACAAACACUCGUUGAGUACAAAUAAUUUGUCCUAUUUUCUCCAUCAGUUCCAGGAAGACAGGAAGUGUUUCCCCAAGGAAAACCUUUCUCUGCAUUAUCAGUAGAAGAGCCUGAGGUGGCUGGCUCAGGUGCAAGUGUCGGCUGUGGGUGUCCACCUGUGCCUGCAGGAGCAGCGUGCUCUCUCUGAUUGGCCUGGCCAGUGGCAGUUGAAUUAGCAACAGAGGGUCCAAAAAUAAGCAGAUUUAAUAAAAAAAGCUUCAUGGCGUGGUGGUUGGGCCCGUGCUGUGCAACUAAUUAACUUGCUAACCCUGUGGAAGCACUUCCAAAAAUGAACUCCUGUUCUCUGCUCCCGCGCUUCCUGCAUUCAGCUUCCUGCGCUGCUUCGGCUUCUGUCCCCUUCCCCAGGCGGUCAGCAUAGCAAUGUCACUUAUACCUGCUGUGUGUACAGGAGGGACAUGUCACAUCUUGUGCCUUUCCUGGUCUGCCACUGUGACCUUCUGCAAUAGCUGAGAACAUCAGUUCCCCCUCCCUGAAGUGGGGCAGCUCUUAUGCUGAAAGAAGACUUCUCCUUUCUUUGGGCUUCCCUGUUACGUGCAGAAGUAAUCCACCAGUAAUUGUAUAUAAGGACAAGGAGAAAUAUUGUGAUUUUCCUACUGUGGCUUGAAAUGCCUGGCUCUGGCUAUUUGUACCUGCUUUGUAAUAGCCCCACUUGAGAGGUGAAAAAGGAGGCUCUAAAGCCCAAUUCCAAGAUUACGACCUGCACAUUAUUUUAAUUUAAACUCGCCUCCUGUUACAACAGAGAAUCAAGGUGUAAGUGUGUAAAGUGCUUUGGGAGCCCUGUGAUAAAAGGCCCUAUAAAAACAUAAAUGUAAGCAGAUGGCAGACACAACCUGCCUGGUAGGAGCAACACACAAGCUCACAGAAAAGGGUGCAAAUUCAAGUCCUAUCCGAAAUUAUCUUGGACAACAAUAAAUGUAACCUUUGCCAGGGCCUGGGCAUUUGUAAUGUAGACCCUGCUAUUUCUCACCACAUUGCCUCAGCCUGAGACACAGGCUAAAUCAUCGGGUUGCACCUCCAAGCACGUUCAGGCUUUGUGUGCCUGUUUGAACAGAGAUCCAUGACUGUGGAACAACACCAAUGGCAAAGGCAUGGCCAUGGCUGUAUCUCAACCACUUUAAUGUUGAUAUCCUCAAGAAGAGGCAUAAAAUAAGAAGCCCUUGGAUACUGCAUCACCAGUUUGUAGUUAAGCUCAGUCUGGGGCAUGAUGUGCAGAAAUGGAAAGGAGUGAAAUGUAACGAGCAAGACAUGCAGCGACAUGUGUUUGCUGAGGAAAAGGGAGAGCUGAUCUUUUUUCUACCCUUGCCUUUUCUUCUAAACACCAUUUUUUUCCCCAAAGGAUGGAUUUUCUCUUUAUCUAACUUGUAAUUUUUCCCUGCUGUGAAAUGUUUUGGGUCAGAUGAUAUUUUGCUGGGCUUUAGAAAACUGCUAAGAAUUAAUUAAUCUGUAAUUAAAUUGAUGGGGAAAAGAUGUACAGAACUGUUAAUAGAAUUACAUCCUCAAAAGGGACAAAAAUAAGGCAGUUUCUUUUCAUUUCUCUUUUUUUACAGUUUGCAGUGUGACAGAUUUCUGACCAAGUUCGAGUUUAGACAAAGUGCAUGUGGCAAAAGUUGGAAGUGUUGUAAUGCUGCCUACUGUGAUUUGUAUAAACAUUUAGGAUCCCCUGGAGAGGAAUGUAAUCCAGGGUUCCUUGCUUACACAGAAACGCUCAGAACAAUAUAAUAUUUGAAAGAAAAGAAACAUUUUUAAUUGGAUUUGUGCUGACUAUUUUCGAAAUACAAAGAAGACACUUUAUCCAGUAAGCUGCAGAUUGUUUGCAGUCACAGGGAAUCGGCAGGACUCAAAUUAGCUGCAGGACAGCCCUUGCUGUUGUUCUGUGAGCCCAACAAAAUGUGAGAUUUGAAGGAAAAAUACUAAUGAUAAGAAAAGGCUGGAAAAUUCAAGCCACAUGCUUUUCUAAGUUUAUGCAAGUUAGGCUGAACGGAUCAUGUGAUUUCCUCAUGCAUUCCUCAAAUGACAAAAAAACUGAAGGGGAAGAUUUUCAAGUUUGUCUUUCUUCUGACUAGAAUACUUGCUAUGGGAUGGGGCAGAUCCUGGCAUGUGCCCUCCUUUUCUCACGGAACUGUGCUGCCGAAGCGUGACCUUGGCUUGCUCCCCAACACCUGCCACCUCACUCUGAACCCCUUGUACCUUUGGGGAUGACCUUCCCUGCUUUUAGCACCCAUCCCCCUGCUGUUAGCAGGAGAGGGGCAGCUCAGGCACUGCUCCCAGUUUCAUGCUGGGAUGAGUCCCUUUGCUGUUUGUAUUGAAUGUGAAGAGAGGAGAGACCUGUUGUUUCAUCAGCGACAUCAAAGAGAAGAAAAUUGCUCUCCAGUGUAUCCAAAUUUGCAACAUCCCCUUGCUUUUGUAGUAAUAGAGAGAGGAUAUUAGAGUCUUUUAGUAAAGGUAUAAGGCUUGGUUUUAUUUCCCUUUUCCUUCCGUUGUUGCAUUUAUUUUUCUUUCUUUGCACUGCUGAUUGGUGAGGUCCAUUGGUAGUGUCAGCAGGUCUUAUUUUGCCAGAUGCAGCAUUCCUCUUAACAUCAGUAGCAGCUGAAGAAUCACUAAAUCUAAGGUGAGAAUAGGCUUCAGAGCAGAUAGAGUGCCCUGAGGCAACUGAAAGUUCUGUGCCUCUGUAGUUGUUUGUAUUUAUAAUUUCCAAGUAUUAAAAGAAAUGUUAAGAUGUAUUCCUAUAGAAAGAAAAGAUACAAGCUCAGGUUCACCCUACCAAUCAUUUGGCACUUCAGGGAUGAUGUAAAAUAAGGAAUAUUGCCACUCAGGCCUCCUUCUAUGUAACUACUGAAAAGAAACGAGUGUCUUCAUGGGGAAUUUAAAACUUCACACAAUCUGAGGGCUCCUCUGGAGGGGACUGUUGCUUCACUGACUCAUGUGACUACACACCUACCAUAGGUGUCUCAUCCAUGGGUAGCCUGUAAGUGAAAUUCUAGACAGUACAAUUUGUAUGUGACAAGAUCCCAUAAUUGCUGUUUAAGGAAGGUGCCCCCUAGGUUGGUUCCAGUAACUGUUUGGCAGAGCUGUUAGCAUAUUAGGUCAGGAUUAAUAGAGCCAAGUGGGGAGGAAUGAUUUUUUGGAGGGACUUGAAAAAGGAGGGCUCCUAGAGAAUGAGAUUUAAGGUGGGGCAAAAAGAAACAGGAUGGGAAGGAGGACUAAGAGUAAAGGCUUAAAAGUAAGGACAAGAAAGUUAAGCUGAAUAUACCUAAGUAACAGAUAAAUGCUUAUGUUCAUAUCACCUCUUUAAGAAAAUUUCGUAAGGAAGAUGACAAAACCCUCUCUUGUCUAUGGAUUAUGGUCUCCUCCUUUCCAGGAGAGUGCCAGUUACAACAAGGGGAAGCUAAGAUAAGGAGGAAUGCACGGGGAGGAUGAUUCUGCAGGACAGUUUUGGGAGGUCACCCUCAUAUUUCCUAAUAUUAGACAUCUACAGGUAUAGAUGUCAUGGCUGAGCUAGUUGUCCUGAGCUGCCUUUUCAGUCAAAAGAGAGCAACUGCUGCUUUUAAGGUGCAGUUCAGCUGAGCUAUUUUAGAUAUCUGCUGAAAAUGUCCAGAUGUCUGCGAUGAAUCCUACUUUGCCUGUUUCUGUUGAUGAAAAUGGAGUUGAGGGAUGUUAACUCAGAUGCAAAGUCUAUAGUUUAUAAGAUACUAUGAAAUGAUCUCUUAACUUGCAUUCACCUCCAAACAGCAUACAGAAGAGCCAAAUAUUUGUUCUUUCUGGACAAAUCUUACUGUUGCAUGAUUCAAGUAGGACAUUUAGGUGGUCAAGGAGACUUGCGAGACUGAUAUAUUUAAGAAAAGGCAAAAUGAGAUAUUUUUGGUAAAUUGCAUUUCCUUAUUAGUCAUCACUUCCCUUUUUAUUCUGAGAAGCAGCCCUCUUCAGACGUGUUCGUUUUAUUUGGCAGAAGCGUAGAUAACUCCAGAUGUUGCUGAUUCUUUUUCAGUUCAUCGCCUCAGGAAACUUCAGUUGCACCUGAGAGAAAAUAGAAGCCAACCUGGAAGAAAAAGAAAAGAGAUAUAUAAUAGCCUUGAUAGAGGGAAAGAAAAAUCAGAUUAAUUUAUAUGCUCUGGAUGAUCUCUAAAUGUUUCCUUAAAGAUGAAUUAAAAGCCUUUUAAUUCACAAAGAGCUGAGUUCAGGGCCUUGUACAUCUUCUAUUAGAGCUGAAAACAUGAUAAAGAGAUGGAUUUUCAAGCUUCCCUUAAGGGUCUACUAUUGCAAUGGAAAACAGAGCAUUAAACUUUGCAAUUGGCAAGUUGUUUGUGACAAAGCAUCAGCAACGUCCUGCGCUGAACAUGAUUCACGUAAGGAGCAGACAGUGGAUACUGAGUUUGAAAUGGGGCUAAUCAACAAUCUUUGGAAUAAAGAAGUAUCUUAACUCAAAAAUGUUGAUGCAUGAACGAAUGUUAUUCUCUGUGCGCUGAGUUACUGUUUAGGGGACACAUCUACACAAGCAACCAUACUGAAUCUGUUCAGUGCCAUUCACAAGCAAAUUAAAUUUCAAAAUCUGACUGUAUGUGCAUGUGUGUGUCUAAAUAUCUCUAGAGAAAUUACUUAUUUAUUUUCUACUUUGCUCAAAUUUUUCCUCUUCCAGUGCGCUCAGUUCAUUCCUGGAGUCACUCUAUUGACGUUAACAGUGGGGUAUCAAGGAGGUAUUUUGCUCUUCUACUAAAUUUUUAGGAUAAAAGUUUCUGGGACAAGGCCACACACAGCUGCAGGCGAGCUGUCUGAUCCAGGCAGGGGACUGAUGUGGGGGUGGAGGAAGGUCUGCUUCUCUGGCCUUGGGGGACAGCACAAGUCCAAGCUGGGUAGUGUGUGAUAGAGCAAGGCAGCAAUGCAGAAAUGCUAAAGAAGGUGGGUGUCCUGGCCCCUAGACUUUUAGGGACAAUUUGAUGGAGGAUUGUUGGAGAGGCCCGAGGAAGGUGUGCCUUGUGAAAGAGCCUGGCAAAGAGCAGGUGUGAAGGAGGAAUGGUGCAGGGGAUGUCAGAGCGCUGUGGCAGCUCAUCUCAUUGAUGGCCAGCUGGACAAGGUGUCAUUGUGCUCUGCCUCUCAGGCAGACAGUAGUUGAAGAAGAUGAGGGGUAAGGGAACACUGAAGAAAGAGGAUGAACAGAUUACUCUAGCUGGGAAGACAGUGCUGUGGGUGUCUAACCUAGGCAGUGUUAAGUAUUGCAUGUAGCCUCUGAGUUGUCUGAAUGAACACAAAAAUGCAGGAUCCUCUUGAAAAUUAGGGUGCAGCUCCAUGUUAUGGAUCCUUCAUCAGUGGAUCCAGUAUACCCUCUCCCACUCUUCUUUGACCCCACACAAGGAUCUGCUGCCUCUAAUGCUGUGUCUGUUCUACUGCUGGUGUGUCCAGGACUGGUGAAAAUGGGAUGACUAAAGAAAAAAGAUUAUGUCAGGAAGACAAUAGAGAAACAGGUAGGUAAUAGGAAAAAAGUGCUUCUUUAGAACCAAAUCAUUUUAUACCUCUGAGUUAUCUGAGUUGGUGCAAAGGAGAGGGAUAACCAAACCUUCUUGGGGAUUGGAGGGGACAGAGAUGAG